AACGAACGCUGGCGGCAUGCCUAACACAUGCAAGUCGAACGAGACCUUCGGGUCUAGUGGCGCACGGGUGCGUAACGCGUGGGAAUCUGCCCUUUGCUUCGGAAUAACAGUUAGAAAUGACUGCUAAUACCGGAUGAUGUCUUCGGACCAAAGAUUUAUCGGCAAAGGAUGAGCCCGCGUAGGAUUAGGUAGUUGGUGGGGUAAAGGCCUACCAAGCCGACGAUCCUUAGCUGGUCUGAGAGGAUGAUCAGCCACACUGGGACUGAGACACGGCCCAGACUCCUACGGGAGGCAGCAGUGGGGAAUUUUGGACAAUGGGCGAAAGCCUGAUCCAGCAAUGCCGCGUGCAGGAAGAAGGCCUUC
rnacentral:rRNA from 1 species